rnacentral:rRNA from 1 species
UUUUCUGUCACCGAAUACAUUAGCUGGGAUAAUGGAAUAGGACCCUGUCCUCCUAUUUUCAGUUGGUUUUGGCAGCGCGAGGACUAGGGUAAUGAUUAAUAGGGAUAGUUGGGGGCAUUAAUAUUUAAUUGUCAGAGGUGAAAUUCUUGGAUUUAUGAAAGAUUAACUUCUGCGAAAGCAUCUGCCAAGGAUGUUUUCAUUAAUCAAGAACGAAAGUUAGGGGAUCGAAGACGAUCAGAUACCGUCGUAGUCUUAACCAUAAACGAUGCCGACCAGCGAUUAGGAGACGUUGAAUACAAAACACCACCAUCGGCGCGGUCGUCCUUGGCGUCUGUCCCUUUCAACGGGGGCAGGCGCGAGGGCGGUUUAGCCCGGUGGCACCGGUGAAUGACUCCC